rnacentral:piRNA from 1 species
UAAGAGGAAACAGGUUAAGCAUUACUUUGG